rnacentral:rRNA from 1 species
CCUACGGGUGGCAGCAGUGAGGAAUAUUGGUCAAUGGACGAGAGUCUGAACCAGCCAAGUAGCGUGAAGGAUGACUGCCCUAUGGGUUGUAAACUUCUUUUAUAUGGGAAUAAAACGUUCCACGUGUGGGAUUUUGUAUGUACCAUAUGAAUAAGGAUCGGCUAACUCCGUGCCAGCAGCCGCGGUAAUACGGAGGAUCCGAGCGUUAUCCGGAUUUAUUGGGUUUAAAGGGAGCGUAGGUGGAUUGUUAAGUCAGUUGUGAAAGUUUGGGGCUCAACCGUAAAAUUGCAGUGGAAACUGGCAGUCUUGAGUACAGUAGAGGUAGGCGGAAUUCGUGGUGUAGCGGUGAAAUGCGUAGAUAUCACGAAGAACUCCGAUUGCGAAGGCAGUUCACUGGACUGCAACUGACACUGAGGCUCGAAAGUGUGGGUAUCAAACAGGAUUAGAUAUCCGUGUAGUC